rnacentral:rRNA from 1 species
UACGUAGGAGGCAAGCGUUGUCCGGAAUUACUGGGCGUAAAGCGCGUGUAGGCGGUGGCCCAAGUCUGCUGUGAAAGUGCCUGGCUUAACCGGGUAAGGUCGGCGGAAACUGGGCGACUGGAGGACGGUAGAGGGGGGUGGUAUUCCCGGUGUAGUGGUGAAAUGCGUAGAGAUCGGGAGGAACCCCUGUGGCGAAGGCGGCCCCCUGGGCCGGGCCUGACGCUGAGACGCGAAGGCGUGGGGAGCGAACGGG